GCCGGGCGCUGUGGCUCACGCCUGUAAUCCCAGCACUUUGGGAGGCUGAGGCAGGUGGAUCACUUGAGGUCAGGAGUUCAAGACCAGCCUGGCCAACAUAGUGAAACCCUGUCUCUA
rnacentral:SRP_RNA from 1 species